CCAAACCUUUAAAAUUCAGGGCUAGGUCCAAGGUUCCUUGCUCACUGUGCAGAUAUCACGCUGUCUUUAGCAGCUCUGCUUGCAGAUCAAAACCAUACAGAGUGUGUCAGAAGGGGAAAUCUGGACUCUUUGCUUUGUUUUAAUUUACUGUUAUCCUGGUACUUCCCCAACCCUUUACCCAGGAGCAGAGCUUCACUGGGUGAGACUAGUCCUGAAAAAAAGAACCAGUUAUGGAGGAAAAGCACAGCCUGUGCUCACAUAGCAACCCCGUGCCAGGGGGAAAAUCAGGGCUCUGGUCUCACAAUGUGAGUCAGCUGCUUCCCCCCGCCUGCCCCCCGGGAUGAGUAAUUCAGCCGUGAUAACCUUUAACGAGUUGCAGGCACUGUUACAGCUCUGUAUCCAAGCUCAUCUGUGUGCUUUAUUAGCACAGCCCAGGAUGGAGAUGAAGCAUCCUUAUAGGCAGCACGGAGGUGAAAGUGGGAGGGCAAAGAAGAUCUUCAAGAAGUGCAUCCACCUGGAUGUGAUGGGAGAAAUGAAGGUGACUGCAAGGGUCUGACACGUAGGUGCAUGUUCACCCCAAGAAAUUUAGCAGCUGUACAGGGAUGGAUACAGCCAGAAGUGUGAACAGUGGGUGGGAGAGCUCAGCCAGGGGGCCCUGCUCCAUCAGGGCUUCCAGCAUGUGCUAUGUGUUCCCACCUUGGAUUUCCCUGCUGAUGAAGAGACAUAAACCAGUGCUGUGCUUGCAGAUUGGAUUCCUGGACCACGCGCCCUUGCUGGGAAGCAGCACAUUGGUGGGCUGCAGCCAGGUCAGGAAUGCGGUGAGCCCUGGGAAGGAGAAGUUUUCUUGGGGCCAGAACGGUGCAAUGCCACUGCUGGGAUAAUCCAUUUCCUCCAGGCUGCUGACUUGAAGAUGUCAAGGAUUUGGGUAAAAAUAGAAAAGAGAAGAAUGACAUCCUGGAUGAGGGGGAAGCGGGAAAGCACCAAGCAAAGCCCAGCACCAGCCUUUUAGUACCUAAAGGGAGGCUGUAAGAAAGAAAGGGAAAGACUCUUUAGCAGAGUCUGCUGGGAUAGGCCAAGGGGAAAUGGUUUCAAAUGAAAAGAGGGGAGAUUUAG